UGGGGAAUAUUGGACAAUGGACCAAAAGUCUGAUCCAGCAAUUCUGUGUGCACGAUGACGGUCUUAGGAUUGUAAAGUGCUUUCAAUCGGGAAAAAGAAAGUGAUGGUACCGAUAGAAGAAGCGACGGCUAAAUACGUGCCAGCAGCCGCGGUAAUACGUAUGUCGCAAGCGUUAUCCGGAUUUAUUGGGCGUAAAGCGCGUCUAGGCGGUCUGGUAAGUCUGAUGUGGAAAUGCGGGGCUCAACUCCGUAUUGCGUUGGAAACUGCCAGACUAGAGUACUGGAGAGGUGGGCGGAACUACAAGUGUAGAGGUGAAAUUCGUAGAUAUUUGUAGGAAUGCCGAUAGAGAAGUCAGCUCACUGGACAGAUACUGACGCUGAAGCGCGAAAGCAUGGGGAGCAAACA
rnacentral:rRNA from 2 species